UUUUCUAUGUUGCUAGUCAAGAAUUUUUGAAAAGCAACUUCAUACUUUUCAGAGUUAUAUUCACUUAUUCUGGAAAAUAGAGAUGUUUGAGAUUUUAAAGAAUCAUUUUUUUUUCAAUUUUCAAAACAUUAGUAUGGUGUUUUAUAGAUUUUUGGUGUUCUAAUAACCUAUUAUAGAUUUUUUAAGGUCUUUGUAUUUGUCUAUCAUUCUUUUAAUAUUACCAAG
rnacentral:lncRNA from 1 species